UUUUAUUAAUAAUAUUUGUUUUUUUAUCACAAAGUUUCAUAAUUCAAUUUAUUGCAAUUUGUAACACAUCAGUGUUUUUCAAAUAUGUGCUUUAGUUUAAGUAUAGUAAUAAUGAAAUGAUAUGAAUGUAGGAAUGAUGAAAUGAAAGAGGGAUUUGAGUUUAAACAAUUAAAAUUUUGAACAAUGGGCGGGUUAUUUGUGUUUUAUGCACAUAAAAAUAAUGAUUAUGUUAGUUUUCAGUUAAAAUUUUAAAAUUUUUUUCGGAAGGAGUUAUGGUUGAUUUUGAUGAGCUGAGUGUUAGGUGUACUAAUAUGUAAUAAUUAUAUGUAAUAAUUGUAAUAGUUAAAAUACUUAUUUUUGUCUUCUAAGUAUUUGUUAUAUUAACUUAUUUGUUUAUAUUUUAUAAAAUGUUCAUAUCAAAAAAACAACUGGAGAUUAUCAUUAUAAAUGCCUAAAUAAAUAUGUUAAUUAGAAAUAUUUAUCAUAAAAAAAACAGCUAUUAAUCUAACUAGAAAUUAUAAAUAUGUACCAAUCGGUUAAUUUUUUUCUUAUUAUCAUUAAUCAUUUGACAAUUAAAACCUGGCAAUACCUGCAUUUUAUAACAAUAACUGUAGGUAUCAUACUCAGUGUUGGAAAGGAACAAAGCUUGGAACGAUUUUAAAUAUAAGAAUGAGGAACAGAAAAUGUUCCUAUUUAUAUGGAACGUAAACGCAAAUUUCCGUUCUUUCUAUUAAGAAAACAAAAAAAAUGAAACUCACAUUAGUUAAGUGAUAAUAUUUUUUGGAAAUUGUUUAGUGUUUGUAUCAUACUUCAUGACUGUAAAAAGACACAAGUUAAGUGAUGCUUUGUUAGAAAAAUCAGUCUUUAAACAAAACAAAAUGUC